rnacentral:rRNA from 1 species
UGAGGAAUAUUGGUCAAUGGGCGCGAGCCUGAACCAGCCAAGCCGCGUGAGGGAAGAAGGCGCUAAGCGUCGUAAACCUCUUUUGUCAGGGGACAAAAAUGUCGUACGCGUACGAUAUUGAGUGUACCUGAAGAAAAAACGCAUCGGCUAACUCCGUGCCAGCAGCCGCGGUAAUACGGAGGAUGCGAGCGUUAUCCGGAUUUAUUGGGUUUAAAGGGUGCGUAGGCGGACAGUUAAGUCAGCGGUAAAAGCCCGGGGCUCAACCCCGGCGAGCCGUUGAAACUGGCAGUCUUGAGUAGGACAGAAGUAUGCGGAAUGCGCCGUGUAGAGGUGAAAUUCAUAGAUAUGGCGCAGAACACCGAUUGCGAAGGCAGCAUACCGGGUCCUUACUGACGCUGAGGCACGAAAGCGUGGGUAUCGAACAGGAUUAGAUACC